UAGAAGCAGGAGGGAGCAUGUAGGGAACUGUCCAGCGCUGCUGUGCUGAAACCCAGGGCCUAGAGGGUAGCACAGUUCCUCCUAUCAUCAGCUAAAGAACUGUCCAAGCAGCUGGGGUAGCACAGAGUUAAGCUUUGGCCCCAGGCUGUGGUUCAUUCUGCUGUUCUGACACCUCCUGCUGCUGGCUACUCAGAUUCCUGCCGGCUGAACUUCCCCUGGGAGAUCUCUAUGCUUCGUGCACUGGAUGGAGCUCAAACCUGUAUUCGGAAGGCCUUGAUACAAACUGGACUUAGCCUGCCUUGUCCUGGUUGACCUAUUUCCCAGGAAGCAGAACUGGAGUCAGAGGCUGUUUAUUGAGGCGAACCAUUGAGAAGAACAGCAGUUAGGAUGGGGCGUGUGAAGUAGGAGGAGGGAGAGCCCACGUGAGUCUCUGCCCCCGGCAGCCGUGGUCCUACUCGCAGUCCUCCCACCUACCCGAAUAAGAACUUUGGAAAAACUCUCCGAGUCCAAACCCAGAAAGAGGGAGAGAUCGUGUUCACAAUCUGUUCAACAGACGAGAACAGCUCAAUCCUCCAGGAGUACGGGACAAAACCAAGGCUGCCAUCUCCAACCAGGGGCUCACGCAGUCCGUACACACAUCUUAGUUCUUAGGGCUCAGCCGUGGAUUUUUUUUUCCAUUGCAGUGUUUCUCGGAUACAACCUUUCAUUCUUCGUUCUUCCCUUUAGACAAUAUCCUGCGUCGACCUUGGAAAUUCUGAGAUGAUAGGCCUGUUCCAACAUGACCAGGUUUGUGUAGUAUUUGGGAUGGAAAUAGAGCAUCUGUGAAUGGGAAACAGAUACUCACCCACUGAACUACAUCCCUAGCCUCCCUUCCUGCUUUCUUAGAUAAAAGUUUCCCAGAGCCUGUGUAAGUUGGAGAUGUUCUGGAGAACUUCUCAGGUAGUUCCAUUGUUAGGUGGACAACGUCAAACGUCGCUGUGCAGUCCUAGAUGGCAGAGGCCAUUCACUCGGUCUGCUCUCAAUGCAAUGAAGGGAUGCAGAAAAUGGAAGGUGAAUAAGUCGGAGUAUGGGAAUGUCACAAACCAGUGAUGUGGUCAUUUAGUAGCAUGUCACGCAUUAUGAAUAGAACUAUCUAUACUAUUCUUCGGUGUGAAUGGCCGUGUAGUAGGGUCACUUGGAUCAGCCUCACCAUACACACAUGAGCAAUGAGUGCACUGUGCUACAAUGUUGCAGGGCCCUUAGUUUAUAGGGAUUUUUUUUCAGCCCUGCUAGGGUCUUACGGGAAUGCUGUGGGACACACAUCUUUUUGUUGCUUGCAAUAUUAUAUAGCACAUGUCGGUUUGGCCUUCUGGAAGUUUCUUCUGUCUUGUGAAUGUCUAUCUAUCCUGUGUUCUGUAUACAAUCAGAAGACAAAAUAUCACUCUAUUAUUUUCUUCUCUUUUUAUCAUUGCUGUGAUUCUUAAUUUUGAUACAAAGCCCCAUGCUGGUGUUUAAAAGUCUAGCCCUUCUGUUUCUGUCUAGAACACUCUGUCCCUAAAUUCAACAUGCAUCUUGUGCCUUCCCCUAGCUGGCUUACUUUGUGAUGCCCAAAAUCACAUUGCUUGUUUUGUUGUUGAAAGUGUUAUCACACCGCACAUGCUCUGACUGCUCCCUUUGCACCCACCACAACCUAUUCAAGUAUUAAUGAGAUUAAAUGUAUAGAAAAGUAUAGUCUCUUUCUGAUACAGUCAGUCAUCCUCACAUAUUAAUACACCCCAAACCUCACUGGUUGUAACCUAGGGUUCCCUAUUCCUGAGUCCUCAUUGUUAGAGAGGCAGAAAGGAAACCUGAUCUCAAAUUUUAAUCCACAAGUUUCUUAAACCAGUCACUCAGACCCCUCUUAUCUGAUAUUCUGAAAUUCCAUUUUAAUUUUUCUUAAAAUGUUCAUCAUAUAUAACACUAUCUUAUUUGCACACUACAACUGUCCAUCCAUCCCCACUUCACUGCUAAGUUGUACUGGGUCUUACCUAAUACCGUACCCCUCAGCAUCUUGCUGGUCUAUGGCAUUAAUCAGAAAAGUGUAGUUGAAGAAUGAACAAAUCUGGUUCACAGAGCCUCCUUGCACAGGGUUAACCCAUGUGGAUAUUUCACUCUCCUGGCCAACAGCUCUCUAACACAAAUGUGACUUCAAGUGAUAAUUAUUUACUAUACCAAUGCUAUCAAACUGUCCCCACUCACACAAGCAUCUUAUUUCUGCACCUACACACAGGUCUAGUGGUGAAAGUCAAAUUUUAAAUAUGGAGAUCUCUGGUUUUAGACUAUGACAGAACUAGAUUCAGCCUCCACUUGGAAGCCAGGUGAAUUUUAGCAAGUUGUUCUUUCUGAACUCCAAGAGAAAAGGAAAAGAAACAUCUUUUCCUUUGAGACUUGCUGGGAAGAUUUAAUGAGAUAUUUGUGUUAAAUGUCUUGGACGUAAUAAAUCAUUAAGCUAAGAUACUUUUAAUUUCAAAAAUGCCCUUAGUAAGCAUGGAGCAUAUUAUAUAUAAUAUACACAUUUUAAAGAUGUAUUUUAUUUUAAAUUAUGCUUAUGUGCAUAUUAUAUAUUGUGCAUGGAGAGAGGUAUAUGGACAUGAACACAAGUACCCACAGAGGCCAGAAAAGGAUAUCAGAUCCUCGAGAGGAGGUUGUGAGCCAUCCAGUGUAGACUAGAACUAAGAGUAGAACUCAAGUCCUCUUCAAAAGCAGUAUAUAGGCUUAACCUCUGAGCAACC
rnacentral:sRNA from 1 species